rnacentral:rRNA from 1 species
UACGAAGGGAGCUAGCGUUGUUCGGAAUUACUGGGCGUAAAGCGCACGUAGGCGGACUUGUCAGUCAGGGGUGAAAUCCCAAGGCUCAACCUUGGAACUGCCCCCGAUACAGCAAGUCUUGAGAUCGGGAGAGGUGAGUGGAAUUCCUAGUGUAGAGGUGAAAUUCGUAGAUAUUAGGAAGAACACCAGUGGCGAAGGCGGCUCACUGGCCCGAUACUGACGCUGAGGUGCGAAAGCGUGGGGAGCAAACAGG